rnacentral:rRNA from 1 species
GCAAGAUUAAAACUCAAAGGAAUAGACGGGGACCCGCACAAGUGGUGGAGCAUGUGGUUUAAUUCGAAGAUACGCGAAGAACCUUACCUAGCCUUGACAUAUAUUAGAAUCUUUCAGAGAUGAGAGAGUGCCUUCGGGAGCUUUUAUACAGGUGCUGCACGGCUGUCGUCAGCUCGUGUCGUGAGAUGUUGGGUUAAGUCCCGCAACGAGCGCAACCCUCGUCACUAGUUACUAACGGUUCGGCCGAGGACUCUAGUGAGACUGCCUUCGUAAGGAGGAGGAAGGUGAGGACGACGUCAAGUCAUCAUGGCCCUUACGGCUAGGGCAACACACGUGCUACAAUGGUUGGGACAAUGAGACGCAAUACCGCGAGGUGGAGCAAAUCUAUAAACCCAAUCUCAGUUCGGAUUGUUCUCUGCAACUCGAGAACAUGAAGCUGGAAUCACUAGUAAUCGUAGAUCAGCUAUGCUACGGUGAAUACGUUCCCGGGUCUUGUACUCACCGCCCGUCACACCAUGGGAGUUGAUUUCACCCGAAGCGGGGAAGCUAAACUGGCUACCCUCCACGGUGGAAUUAGCGACUGGGGUGAAGUCGUAACAAGGUA